GGGUUGUGGCUCAGCGGUAGAGUGCUCACUUUGCAUGUGCGAGACCCUGGGUUCGAUCCUCAGCCCCA
rnacentral:tRNA from 1 species